GCCGGCCCCACAGACCAUUCCAGUUGUCCCCCAAAGCUGUGCGACGUGGCCUGAAACACAGGUGCCUGCACGUCCUCCAGCCUGGCCACCGCUGGCUCCCAGUGGCCUAGCACCUGCUGGACAAGUGGCUCCAGAACCAUGACGCCGGCCACCAUCACCUUCGAACCGUUGGCAUAGCAGCAGCAUGAGAGCCAGCAGUGGGCAGCGGAGACCGAGGCCGCGGCACAGUGCACACAAAGGGACUCCACACACACAGGGUGGGCGGCAGCCGUAGGACACGCGCGGCUGGAAGUUGGAGCCUGAGUGGGAGGUGGUAGCACCGCCGCUGAGACCCGCCUGCUGCUGGCCCCGGAGCCGCAGCUGUGUCAUGCCUCGGACACCAUGACCGUGCCCUUCUCCAUCGCCACCAACAACCUGCAGUACCACGAGCAAUGCUGGCACCCUUACCUCGUGGGCGACUACGUGGAGACGGAGCUGCUGAAAGAAGCUGAGCUCAUCGGGAGCAUUCCGGAGCUGCUGGAAAGGCCCACCGUGCAAGCCGGAAACAGAUCCAGAGGGCUGAGCCUGCACAAGAAGACCUGAAGUCGGGGCUGGUCGGACAAUGUGGCGCCCACAGCAUGGAGGAGCUCUGCGCGCUCCCAGCCAGAGCACGAGGCGCAGG
rnacentral:lncRNA from 1 species